rnacentral:rRNA from 1 species
GUCGAGCGGACCGACGGGAGCUUGCUCCCUUAGGUCAGCGGCGGACGGGUGAGUAACACGUGGGUAACCUGCCUGUAAGACUGGGAUAACUCCGGGAAACCGGGGCUAAUACCGGAUGCUUGAUUGAACCGCAUGGUUCAAUCAUAAAAGGUGGCUUUUAGCUACCACUUACAGAUGGACCCGCGGCGCAUUAGCUAGUUGGUGAGGUAACGGCUCACCAAGGCGACGAUGCGUAGCCGACCUGAGAGGGUGAUCGGCCACACUGGGACUGAGACACGGCCCAGACUCCUACGGGAGGCAGCAGUAGGGAAUCUUCCGCAAUGGACGAAAGUCUGACGGAGCAACGCCGCGUGAGUGAUGAAGGUUUUCGGAUCGUAAAACUCUGUUGUUAGGGAAGAACAAGUACCGUUCGAAUAGGGCGGCACCUUGACGGUACCUAACCAGAAAGCCACGGCUAACUACGUGCCAGCAGCCGCGGUAAUACGUAGGUGGCAAGCGUUGUCCGGAAUUAUUGGGCGUAAAGCGCGCGCAGGCGGUUUCUUAAGUCUGAUGUGAAAGCCCCCGGCUCAACCGGGGAGGGUCAUUGGAAACUGGGGAACUUGAGUGCAGAGGAGGAGAGUGGAAUUCCACGUGUAGCGGUGAAAUGCGUAGAGAUGUGGAGGAACACCAGUGGCGAAGGCGAC